GAUAUAAAAGGAAGCGAAUGAAGCCGACGUAUCGGGCUUGUAUUCAACCGCUCAGCGUUGCGAUCAGUUGGUUCGGUAUUCCGCAAGGUUACCUGCUGGCUGUUGUCGUUACGUUAGUGUGGUGCAUUUGCAAGCGGAGUGCGCCGAGUGGGUUGAUUCUGCUGCUUGAAGCUUGUAAAGAGGACUUGACUUCGGUCGAGAACCCUGUACUUGUGGAUGGCGGAUGGGAUCGGCUCUUGUGUGGUGUUUCGGCACCCGACUCGGUGUUCAGUCGGUCACCCAUUUGACCCGUCUUGAAACACGGACCAAGGAGUUUAAGGUGUACGCAAGUCAUUGAGCGUUAAACUCAAAGGCGUAAUGAAAGUGAGCUUCUUAGAAGCUGUAAUGUGAACUGUGGUUGAUUCGUUGGCUGCAGUGCAACAUUGCCCCAUGCCUAGGACUUGUCCUGGUGUGGAGGUUGAGCGUACGCUUUGAGACCCGAAAGAUGGUGAACUAUGCCUGAACAGGAUGAAGUCAGAGGAAACUCUGAUGGAAGUCCGAAGCGGUUCUGACGUGCAAAUCGA
rnacentral:rRNA from 1 species